UCUAUUACAUUUAUUGUGUGCACAUGUGUGUGUGUAGGUCAUGUAGAGGUCAGCAGAGAGCUUGCAGAAGUAGCUAUGGAGACUUCUUGGCACCAGACCACUGAGCCACUCACUGGCCCUGCCUGGCCUGCUUUCUUUUCUCUUGAACUGAUAAACCUACUUCAUCUUCGUUGAUGCCUUCUUAUAAUACUUAGAAUCACUCAUUUCCUUUCACCGUAAGCUAUGUCGGUCCACAUACAUCAUGACUCAGAAGUCACUGCAUCGAAAGAACCCCAACAGGGCAUCUAUACCUCAGUGUCAUGUCUGUUUUAUGAACCAAGGGCCUUGUGGCCUGAUCCCUGAACUGUCUAGUAAGCAAUUUUUCCUGUCAUAGUAAACCUUCAAAGCCCAUGACUUAAUAAAUAAAAGUCCAAAUUA